rnacentral:rRNA from 1 species
AUACGUAGGUGGCAAGCGUUGUCCGGAAUUAUUGGGCGUAAAGCGCGCGCAGGCGGUCCUUUAAGUCUGAUGUGAAAGCCCACGGCUCAACCGUGGAGGGUCAUUGGAAACUGGGGGACUUGAGUGCAGAAGAGGAAAGUGGAAUUCCAAGUGUAGCGGUGAAAUGCGUAGAGAUUUGGAGGAACACCAGUGGCGAAGGUGACUUUCUGGUCUGUAACUGACGCUGAGGCGCGAAAGCGUGGGGAGCAAACAGGAUUAGAUACCCUGGUAGUCCACGCCGUAAACGAUGAGUGCUAAGUGUUAGGGGGUUUCCGCCCCUUAGUGCUGCAGCUAACGCAUUAAGCACUCCGCCUGGGGAGUACGGUCGCAAGACUGAAACUCAAAUGAAUUGACGGGG